rnacentral:lncRNA from 1 species
UAGGUUACUACUCCCUAUAACAUUAUAAAGGCUACUCCUGUCUGCAUCCGACGACUAGGAAAAUCAUCAUAUCGCAUCAUGUUGUAUUCGAUGAAACGACAUUCCCAUUUCAUUAUUCCGAACUGGUUUGAUCCUUUGUUACAGACACUGAACAUUAUAAUUCUGGUGCUAACGAUCGAUUACACAACAAUCUAAACAUUCAUACGACUGCACAAUACUCUGUGUCGGUCAUCAGGUAUGCAUCGACUGUAACCCACGUACGCAUGCACCAUCUGGUGCGCCACCUGACGCCUCUGUUGUCUCAGCCACUCCGACGCCAACUUCCCCAAUUUCAAAUAUUGGCGGCAUAAACGAACAACGGUGUCCCUUCUAUUGUUUCACUUUACUCAUCAAUCAGCCCAGUUAUGUUACGCAGUCUAGAAUACCCGAUUGAUCAGCCCACUCGACUAAGCAGGAGGCGAACCGCAGACAUCUGGGAUGAUUAUAUCCAUGAUUUAAAUGGUUUGUCUUCGUCCUAUGAUUUGGAUCCUUCUCAAACAUCCGACCCAAAUGAAUCCCUCAAUUGGUCUCCCAACCAGUUCCCCAAUCGGCCCCUCAAUCCUGUGAAAUAUUCCUAAGUGAUCGUGUAUGUUCGUACUCCUCCUGCAAAAGAAGAAUAAAUGACUAUGAAAUACGAGUCUAUGAAAUCUUCCAAAAUCAUUCAAUAAAAUAUAAGUCCAGUUACACAUAUGAUAGAGUCCAUGAAAUACAAGUGGCUAUGAAAUCAUCCAAAAUCAUCCAACAAAAUCAUCCAAAGAAAAGCGAGUGGCUAUGAAAUACUCUUCAAUAUAUAUUAUUAAAAUAUGAAAAUCACAUAUGAUAGAGUCUACCUCACCGCUUAUCUCUGCCGAGAAUGUCCGCUGCUUCUUCCUAUGACGACUACAGUCCCAACAACUUGUUCUAACAUCUUACAGUUCAUACAACGACAAAGAUCGAAAAAGAAGUUGAUCCUAAAACAAACAUGACGGAGGAUCGGGAUGAAGAGAAGGUUCCAUCGUUUGUAAAAUAUUCUCCAAACUAUUGAAAUCACUGCUGUUCUGCUGCAUAUCUCUAAACCCUAAUAUCAAAUAUCUGAACACCACUUAUAAAGAAAGCUUCACGAUGGUCAGAUCUUUGGUUUCAUUCUUAACCGUUGAGAUUAAAAUCUAAUUUCAGGUAACCCACUGGGUCAAAAUGCUACCCGAUGGAUAAAUCAACCCAACUGCCCAACAAUAAACAACUGAAAUCUAGCGUAAUGGCUCAUUCUACUUUUUCAUUCCGUAAGAGUUACUUUUUCUCCUCUUUGAUUCUGUUAUUGCUCAUUGGAUUGCAUUCCAGAUUUUCUUUAUGCAAAUUCUAAUCUGGUAAUUUCUUUUCAUUUUCAGAUGAAUCGAUCAUGUUCGUUGCGUGUAGAUCUGUCUCACAGUUUGAUUGUAGAUUAGAUAAUGUGUAUUUCUGUAAAUGUCAUAAUCAUUCUUGAAUUACUCUUGUCAAUUUUCAAUUUGUUAAUUUUCUUUAGAUUCCUGUCAUUUCCAAUUUCACUUUGUUAACCUGAAUUUCAUUCUAUAAAUCUUUGUUAAUUUCUUUUCAAUCAAUUAUAUCUUUGUCUUGUUCAUAAUAACUCUGUAUUGAAUCAAUUCAAUCAAACCAAAAUUCUAUGUUAAACAAUCAUGUUAAUCCUAAUUUAAUACCAUUGUGGUAAUUCUUUCUAUACAAAAUUGAAACUCUUAGUUUCUUCACAUGGUAUCAGUUUAAGUGUUAUCCUGGUGAUUAGCUUACAUUUAUCUGCUUAAGUUUUAUUUUGUAUCCACCAUUGAAUCCUUCACAUCCUGAAAAUAAAUAAAAAAACAGAAAAGGAGUCAGAAACAAUUGAGAAGAUGGCAACACAACAACAAAUAACAUGCAAUGGAAACAGAUAUUACAACAUUUUCAGUAUGGUGCCAGAUAAACUUGAAGGUAAAAAUUAUUUAUGCUGGAGAAACUAGUUCGAAUGUGCUCUUAGGGGGCAUAAGUUUAUGAAGUACGUAACUGGAAUUGAGACUUGCCCAACCCCAAAAAUAGGCGAAGAUGAAGCAAAUCCAGAAUAUGAGAAGUGGAUGAUGGACAAUGAUAUGGUAUUAGGGUGGAUUAAAGCAACUGUAGCAAGUCAAUACCAAUUAAUGCUUCUGAAGUGUAAAACUACCUAUGAGAGAUGGAAUCAAUUAGAGAAGAUAUUUUCUCCAAUAAGCAACACACAAGUAUCAGUUCUGAAGGAACAGCUCAGAACUCUAAAGAAACUUGGUACAGAGGGAAUGCAAGAUAUCUAGUGAGGGUUAAAGGAUUGGUUGAUUCACUUGCUUCAACUGGAGAGAACUUAAGUGAACAUACGUUGGUGGACUAUAUUUUUGGAGGCUUAGGGUCAGAAUACCGGUGUGUAUUUACAAAUGUGAAAGGAAUGAAAAAUAUAAAUUUUGAAGAGCUCACUGAAUUACUGCUGAAUGAAGAACAGAUAAACAAAAGGUUGAAUAAUGAAAGUGAAGUGGCUUUAGUGUCAUAUAGAGGAAACUAUGGUAGAGGGAGACCAUUUCAGAAUCCACAGCCUUAUAGACCUAAUUUUUCACAAAAUCGAAAUUUUACUCAAUAUCCACCUCAAAAUUACUAAAAUCAAUAUCCUCUCGAUAAUUCAGGUUAUUUUUCUCAACAACAAUACCAACCAAGACCCAACUACUGGCAGAACAGUUACGUUAGAGGAGGAUAAUACACCAACAAUCAGAAUAUGUUUCCUCAACAACCAACAUACCAAUAUCCAUCACCACUAACAAAUAUGAAUACACCACCACCUGCAUACACUUCAUAUAAUACAUAUAGAGGGCCUGUUUCCAGACCAUCACCACCACUACAAAUACCACCAACCAUUAUUACACCAUCAUCUCUAGAUCAGACACAAAGCUGCCAACUAUGUGAUAAAAUGGGACACCUAGCAAAACAGUGCACAGAAAGAUCAAAUUUCACUGCCUAGACCACAACAACUACAGAAACAACACCACUGAUCCAGAAUUAUCCACCAACACAGCCGAUUAUUCAGGAAUCGGCCACAGAACAUGCAAUGUUAGCCAACACCUACUCAGAUUCAGCUUGGUGAUUAGACUCUGGAGCAUCAAGUCAUAUGACACCAGAUCUAAGAGCUUUCUCAUCCUAUGAAACUUUCACAGGUACUCAAUUUGUCAUAGUAGGAAGUGGCCAAAAAUUACAAGUAACACAUAAAGGUAGUGUAAUUUUAAAAUUUGAUGGAAAUGAAUUUAUGAUACAAGGGGUGUUAUGUGUUCCACUGAAAAAGAACUUACUAUCAAUUCAGAAAUUAUCUAAAGAUCUGAAUUGUAAAAUUGAGUUUGAUCAUGAUUUUUUUUGUGUUAAGGACCCAAUUACGAUGGAGAUGUGGUUUACUGGGCAUAGCCAAUUAAGGUGGUUUGUACCAUAUAUACCCUGAUUCAGAAGCAAAUUAUGGAAUGAGAGCCACUGAAGAGGAUUGGCACAACAGGAUGGGUCAUCCACGUGAAAGUGUGAUGCAGAAACAUAAAACAGAAUUACUAAUUGAUAGAAAGAAAAGAGAUGAUACAUUUUGUGCAAUAUGUGCACAAGGGAAAGCACACCAACUACCUUAUAAACGAAGCAUACAUACAAGCAAAAUACCUCUAGAAAUGCUACAUAUAGAUCUAUGGGGACCCUCUCUCAUUGUUUCAGUACGCAAUUAUAAGUACUAUAUAUCAAUUGUAGAUGAUUUUAGUAGGUUUAGCUGGUUUUUUCCAAUUUCAACCAAGUCUGAGUUUGUAAACAUUUUUCUGAAAUUUCAAAUAAAAAUUGAGAAAUUUUUGGGGUUAAAAAUUAAAGGAGCGCAAACUAACCAAGGAGGUGAAUUUAUGAAUACAAGGUUAAAAUCACAUUUUGAAAAGGAAAGAAUUAGCCACAGGGUUUCAUGUGCAUACACACCUCAACAGAAUGGACUAGUUGGGAGGAGGCACAGGCAAAUUGCUGAAAUUGGAAGAUGUUUUUUUAUCAAGUCAGGAAUACCCCACUACUACUGACCAGAAGUGUUUUCAUCUACAGUAUUUGUGAUUAACAGGUUGAAAACCCAGGUAUUAGAAGAUAAAAGUCCUUUUGACGUGAUAAUGAAAAAAUUGCCAGAUUUGGCAAUUCUGAGAACAAUAGGGUGUGCAUGUUAUCCAUUAAUUCAGAAACAUGAGAGAAAUAAAUUUAUGGAAAAAUCAAAAGAGUGUGUGUUCUUAGGAUAUGCAACAAAUCAAAGGGCUUAUAGAUGCUUAGAUGUUAAGACUGGAGAGAUAAAAAUAAAUAGGGAUGUGGUGUUUAAUGACGGAUACUUCUCAUUUCUUGAUAUCCGAUCAAGAAAUCAGACCAAGCAGAUAGAGUCUAAAUCAAGGGGAUUUCUCACUUGUAGUGUAAAAAAUACCCCUGGUCAAAUAAGAUCAGGAGAUACAACUACAAGUUCAUCACUUGAAACUAGCAUGAGUCAGUCAUCGAGUAUCAACCCAUCUACAUCUGAAUAUUUAGAUGAGAAUUCUAGUCAAAUACAAACAAAUCCAGAGUUUAUAACCAGUCCUGAAAAUUCAAAGUCUACAACUCAAAAUUCAGUCAACACAAGCAAUAGGUUAGAGUCUAAUUCUACCACCAACACUUCGAAUAAAUCUAGUACUAUUCCUGAAAAUGAUAAUGCAAUAAUAAUGAAUAGAAAUAUCAAUAUACAGAACCCAAGAAGAUCAGAAAAAGUAAGGAUUACUUCCACUAAAUAUGAUAAUGAUUAUGAUUGCAAUAUUGUUUAUGAUACUAAUAUUUGUUGUGAGCCUAAGUCUUUUACAGAAGCUAUGAAACAUGAAUGUUGGAGAAAGGCCAUGAACGAAGAGCUAGAGGCAAUUAAAAACAACAACACAUGGAGUUUAGUUCCUAGAUGUGAAGGAAUGGAUAUUGUAGGCUCAAGAUGGAUGUAUAAGAUGAAAACUAAUUCAGAUGGUUCUAUCCAAAGGUACAAGGCAAGGUUGGUUGCACAAGGGUGCAACCAAGAAGAAGGUGUAGAUUACAGUUACACAUAUAGUCCAGUUAUUAAAACGUCAACAGUCAAAACAGUACUAUCUUUGGCAGUAACAAAUAAAUGGUGUUUAAGGCAACUUGAUGUCAAGAAUGCUUUCUUGAAUGGUGAGUUACAGGAAACAGUUUAUAUGAGACAGCCUAAGGGAUUCAAAGAUAAAGAAAGACCAGAGGAUGUUUGUUUAUUAAACAAGGCACUAUAUGGACUAAGCAAGUACCAAGGGCAUGAUAUCUCAAACUUCAACAAAAAUUGAUGGAGAUUGGGUUUAAAAAUUCAGUAGUUGAUGCAUCCUUAUUCAUCAAGAAAAGUGAGGAGUCUAUCAUAUUAGUAAUGAUUUAUGUGGAUGACAUUAUCAUCACGAGAAACUGUUUAGAAGAUGUUGAAGAUUUCAUCAUCCAAAAUCAUUCAACAAAAUCAUCCAAAGAAAAGUGAGUGGCUAUGAAAUACUCUCCAAUAUAUAUUAUUAAAAUAGAGCCCUCUAUUAAAAUAUUAAAAUCACAUAUGAUAGAGUCUACCUCACCGCUUAUCUCUGCUGAGAAUGUCCGUUGCUUCUUCCUACGACGACUACAGUCCCAACAACUUGUUCUAACAUCUUACAGUUCAUACAAAGACAAAGAUCGAAAAAGAAGUUGAUCCUAAAACAAACAUGACGGAGGAUCGGGAUGAAGAGAAGGUUCCAUCGUUUGUAAAAUAUUCUCCAAACUAUUGAAAUCACUGCUGUCUGCCGCAUAUCUCUAAACCCUAAUAUCAAAUAUCUGAACACCACUUAUAAAGAAAGCUUCACGAUGGUCAGAUCUUUGGUUUCAUUCUUAACCGUUGAGAUUAAAAUCCAAUUUCAGGUAACCCACUGGGUCAAAAUGCUGCCCGAUGGAUAAAUCAACCCAACAACAAAUAUAUAAACAACUGAAAUCUAGCGUAAUGUCUCAUUCUACUUUUUCAUUCCGUAAGAGUUACUUUUUCUCCUCUUUGAUUCUGUUAUUGCUGUUCUUGCUUAUUGGAUUGCAUUCCAGAUUUUCUUCUGUAAAUUCUAAUCUGGUAAUUUCUUUUAAUUUUCAGAUGAAUCGAUCAUGUUCGUUGCGUGUAGAUCUAUCUCACAGUUUGAUUGUAGAUUAGAUAAUGUGUAUUUCUGUAAAUGUCAUAAUCAUUCUUGAAUUACUCUUGUCAAUUUUCAAUUUGUCAAUUUUCUUUAGAUUCCUGUCAUUUCCAAUUUCACUUUGUUAACCUGAAUUUCAUUCCAUAAAUCUUUGUUAAUUUCUUUUCAAUCAAUUAUAUCUCUGUCCUGUUCAUAAUAACUUUGUAUUGAAUCAAUUCAAUCAAAUCAAAAUUCUAUGUUAAACAAUCAUGUUAAUCCUAAUUUAAUAUCAUUGUGGUAAUUCUUUCUAUACAAAAUUGAAACUCUUAGUUUCUUCACAAAUCCGACCUACUAUGUUACAGAAGCCUCUGUCGACGCAUGAUGGGUUGAUGGAGAGACACCUUUUCCGUCC